UUUAGAAGCUUUUUGACGAAUUUGACCAGGUUACUAAAUAACACGCAUUUUAACAAAAAAAAAUGUCUUCUAAAGAGGAUGUCUUCAAAAAAAUGUCUUCUACCAAGCGACGUUGGAGAUGUGUUAUAUACAGGAAGGUGUGUCCUUUUGAAAGAAAGCUACAUUGACUGGAUGAUGCAACUGGACACUAAUAAAGCUACGGACACCUGUCUUUUAAAGCCUGGUUUCUUAGGAUAGGUCGACGUUACAAAACGCCAGCUUGAAGUGAGCUCUAACCCCUGAUUGGUCAAUUUGUGAAUUUGACCGCAUAUGCCAUCGAACGCUGUGCUUGAACGAUGACUGCAGUUGGAUUACAACGUAAUGUUAAUGAAAGAUGCAACGAGGGACAGCAUCCAAUAGGGUAUUGAAAUCUACCAAAGUUUUGAUUUUAACAUUAAACAUAGAUUCGUCUUCCUCUUCUUCUCCAUUUAG